rnacentral:rRNA from 1 species
GCCGUGCCUUCGGGCAAGAAGUGCGAGGCACCUGGAGUCAAGAAAAGGCGCGUAGCGAUGAAGUCUGAUUGCCCGUACCACAAACCGACACAGGUAGAUGAGUAGAGGAUACCAAGGCGAACGGGAGAACCCUCGUUAAGGAACUCGGCAAAAAGGCCCCGUAACUUCGGGAGAAGGGGCGCCAGCGCGAGCUGGCCGCAGCGAAAAGGCUCUGUCGACUGUUUACCAAAAACACAGGUCUGUGCGAACGCGCAAGCGGACGUAUACGGGGUGACACCUGCCCAGUGCCGGAAGGUUAAGAGGAGGGGUGCAAGCUCCGAAUUGAAGCCCCGGUGAACGGCGGCCGUAACUAUAACGGUCCUAAGGUAGCGAAAUUCCUUGUCGGGUAAGUUCCGACCCGCACGAAAGGUGUAACGAGCGGAGCGCUGUCUCAACGAGGGACCCGGCGAAAUUGAAGUACGUGUGAAGAUGCGCGUUACCCGCAGCUGGACAAAAAGACCCUGUGGAGCUUUACUGUAGCCUGCCAUAGCGUUAGGACUUGGUCUGUGUAGGAUAGCUGGGAGACGAAGAAGCGAGGGCGCCAGCCUUCGUGGAGUCACCGGUGAAAUACCAGCCUGGCUGAGUUUUGACCCUAACCUGCGCGAAGCGUGGGGACAGUGGCAGGUGGGCAGUUUGACUGGGGCGGUCGCCUCCAAAAAGGUAUCGGAGGCGUUCAAAGGUGGGCUCAGGCUGAAUGGAAACCAGCCAGUGAGUGCAAAGGCAAAAGCCCGCUUGACUGCAAGGCCAACGCGCCGAGCAGAGACGAAAGUCGGACUUAGUGAUCCUACGGCACAGAGUGGAAUGGCCGUAGCUUACCGGAUAAAAGCUACCCCGGGGAUAACAGGCUAGUCUUGUCCAAGAGUUCACAUCGACGACAAGGCUCGGCACCUCGAUGUCGGCUCAUCGCAUCCUGGGGCUGGAUAAGGUCCCAAGGGUUGGGCUGUUCGCCCAUUAAAGCGGUACGUGAGCUGGGUUCAGACCGUCGUGAGACAGGCCGGUCUCUAUCCGCUGUGGGCGUAGGGGGUUUGCGAGGAUCUGUCCCUAGUACGAGAGGACCGGGAUGGACGGAGCGCUUGUGUGCCGGUUGCCACGCCAGUGGCACAGCCGGGUAGCAAUCUCCGGGGCAGAGAACCGCUGAAAGCAUCUAAGCGGGAAACUGACCUCAGGAUGAGACCCCCCACUACGAGAGUAGGUAAGACCGCUGGCAGACGACCAGCUCGAUAGGCGGGAAGUGGAAGCGCAGUAAUGUGUGAAGCUAACCCGUACUAACGGUCGAGGCCUGAA